GGCCUUUAAAUUGUUACUAACUGCUAUUGUUAGUUAUUUUUUGAUAUAGUCAUGUUUUCUUACUUGAGCUGGGCUUCUUUGAAGGGAAAGGGAACACAUCUUACAUUUAUUUCACUCCCUCUCAAUGUGUAACAGAAACCUCGUGCACAGGUUUGAUAUAUGGAGGUGCACACAUAGCAGGGCAUUCGUUUGAACACGCACAUUAACUAUGUCUCGUCUACAAUGAGAAAUAUAAGACAACAGCUGAGACGGCUGCCAUUAAUCUUAAGUAAGAUUUAUUAUGGUGUCAAAUUAGAUUCUAAAUUUCUAUUCUCUAAGAAAUUAGAAAAUGAGUGAGAUAUCACCUCAAAGGGCAUUUUUUAUAUUUUAUGAUGUACAUUUCCUUUUACAGUAGUCUCCUUAUCAGCUGUCUGCUAAUCAUGUGUCUCUCAAAGUUAUUCAGACACAAGUUGAUUGUUAUGAUUAGAUUAAGCAAAUCUUUUUUUCAGCAGUGCCUUUUCCUUGCUGCAACAGAGGAGAUGAACUGGGAGAAAGGAUAACGGGCGAAACUUGAAGCACGUGCCAUUUUAGAAAGACGGGUAAAUAGGUGAGGAAACCAUAACUAACCUUUGUCUGAAAUCCUGGAAUUAUUGAGCUGUGUGACCUUGUCACUUUCCUCAUUGAAUAUGGGGUCUAUGAACUCAUGGAUCCAUGAACCCAGGUGGACCUUUGUGACUAUCUCAACCCACAGAGCACAGAAGAAGUGACUUUAUACGACUUCUGAGACUAGAUUAUAAGUGUCGUGCAUUUCUGCCUUGUGCCUUGAGGAUACUCACUUUUGCAACCCAGUCACCAUGCUGUAAAGAAGCCUAAACAGUUCCUGGAGAGACCUCAGGUACCACAAAGCCUCACCUGAGAUCUCAGCUGACAGCCAGCGUCAACCACUGGAAAUAUGAGUGAGCAAGCCUUCAAAUGAUUCCAGCCUCCAGCCAUCAAGUCACCCUCAGGCUUCGAAUCUUCUCAGCUGAGGCUCCAGACAUCAUGGAACAGAGACAAGGCAUCCCCACUGAGCCCUUUCCCAAUUUCUGAUGCACAGAACCCAUAAACAGUAAAAUGGAUGUUAUUCCUACCACUAUGAUCAGGCUGGUUUGCUACUCAACCAGAGUAGCUGGAACAGGUCAUCACUGGAGAAGAAAAUGAGGAAUGAGACCUGGAAGAGUCCUAACUCAUUAAGAUUUGACAAAGGUAGGUAACAGACACGUGGAUUUUUUUUGUACUAUUCUUUACAGUUUACCUUCUAGUCUUUAAAUAUUUUUAAAUAAAUGUAGAAAACAAUGCAUGUCCUAGAAACU